UUCCCUUAUGCUUGGCCAUUUGAAUUCAAUUGACCCACAAAUGUCCUUUCUUUUGUAGCCGAGCCAUGUUACAACCCUCAAAGACCUUUUGAUCCAUGUUUUUAUGCCUUUUGAAAUGAUAAUUGGAUGGACACAUAACUUGAUGUGGAUGUUAACUUGAUUGUCGGGAAUCGAGUGCCAAAACAUCAAGCAAGAGU